UACGUGAAACCGUUCAGGGGUAAACGGGAGAAAUCCUGAAUUCGAAUGGGGUUGGAUUCAAGUCCAUCCGGUUAUAAUGUAGUCUGCCUGGCCCCACCAGAUGGCGCUGGUCGCCCGCGGCGAUUCAUUUCGUUUGCGGUGUCGUUCCCGGCGAUCACUCSGAGGGGUGGCGCGAAAUCUGCGACCGGAGGAGUGCAAUUCCCCCCUAGUAGAAACGUCGCGACCCGUUGGGUGCCGGUCCAAGGCCUGGGAUGGCAGACCAUGUGUCCUGCGUGGGAUCACGCAGGCGCGUGGACUCCCGGUGACCCGGCCGGCCGCCCGACGGUAUGACCAGAGGAGUCGAUCCGCUGAAUGUGAAACACUGUGGUUGUGUAGCGUCCGGCCCGGUGCCGAUGCGUGCGGGGAAUGAGGUGUAAACCGGGGGUGUCCGUGCGAAGCACGGCCCCGGCCCUGCUGCGUAUUUGGUACCGGUGACCUCGGACUGGAUCCGUUCUCCCGUCUGCGACGCCCACCUUCGGAUGG
rnacentral:rRNA from 1 species